UUUGAAUCCUUAGACAAAUAAAGGAUAAUAUUUGUGUGUAAUGUUUUGAUGUAUAUAUAGUAAUGCUUUUAACGAAAAAAAAUGUGAAUGGGGCAUUAAGACAACUAAGGCAAUAAAGUCAGUUUUUAAAAGUAGUCAAUUUUUGUAUUGUAAUUUGUAAACUAGAAGGCUGUGGUGCAAAAAAAAACUUAUUUAAUAUGGGCAUGGUUUAUAUUUGUUACUGUUAUUGCCAGUUGAGCUAUAACUAAAUGAUUGUUACGUAGAAAUUAUGUAUUGAUUUACUGUUUUGUUCGUUGUUACUGUUUGGUGGAGCUAUUUACAGUACUGGUACUAUUCAGUUGGUUUUAUGUGUAUUCCUGGGAAAAAGUGAGGUUACUUUGGAAUAAAAAAAUGCAUGAGAAGAGCUAAUAUGUAGUUUUUUUUUUCCUGUAUCUGCUAUAUAUUGGAUCGGAUACUACGAUGUAAAAAAUAAAAGGUCUUUUGUGGUGAAAUUAUAUAUUUGGUUUAAAAUUCCAAUAAUUCAGUUGCAAAUUUCGAUUUCUC
rnacentral:lncRNA from 1 species